UUAGAGUGAGGAGCUGCCCCCUACUCAGCUGUGUAUCAUCUCACUCUGAUUGAGGGCAGCUUAUUAGUGAGCCGCACAGCUGAUGUGUCAGCGUGAGCUCUGCCAGAGGAAUCAUUCCUUGGUAUACAGAGGCAACAGCAGGUCAUAGUAUCUGGACUAUACAGUUCUCCUGGGCAAUUUAUCUGCCCUAUUCCCGGCAGUUAUUAUUGCAACUAGAAUCAGUAUUGACAGAAAUCUCUUGGGAUGAAUUAUACCCAUCUCUUCUGAGACUACCUCAUCAUCAAUCUUCCCAUUAUUUCUAUCAUCAUUUUAAUCAGUACCUGCUUGCCUCCGGCUCCUCUUCCUCUAUAGGCUUGCAUCCAGGCUCUGUGCAUGGCACGGCGUUCCUACCCGCAUGCUUAAGAGGAUUAUUUCCUCUUUCUCCCAUCCCUCCUUCCAUCUAUCUGGGAUUCUCCAUCUGGGACUUUGAGCCAAUCACGGCCAAUCAUUCAGGUUUUUUUAGUCCACUUUUACAGACUACUGCCCCCCAUUGGUUCCUGACGAAGCCCCCUUGGGCGAAACUAGUAGAACCGUUACAUGUGGGAUGAAAUGAAGAUCACCUGCAUCU